rnacentral:rRNA from 1 species
AUUGAACGCUGGCGGCAUGCCUUACACAUGCAAGUCGAACGGUAACGCGGGGCAACCUGGCGACGAGUGGCGAACGGGUGAGUAAUGCAUCGGAACGUGCCCAGUUGUGGGGGAUAACUGCUCGAAAGAGCAGCUAAUACCGCAUACGACCUGAGGGUGAAAGCGGGGGAUCGCAAGACCUCGCGCAAUUGGAGCGGCCGAUGUCGGAUUAGCUAGUUGGUGGGGUAAAGGCCCACCAAGGCGACGAUCCGUAGCUGGUCUGAGAGGACGACCAGCCACACUGGGACUGAGACACGGCCCAGACUCCUACGGGAGGCAGCAGUGGGGAAUUUUGGACAAUGGACGCAAGUCUGAUCCAGCCAUGCCGCGUGCGGGAAGAAGGCCUUCGGGUUGUAAACCGCUUUUGUCAGGGAAGAAAUCUUCUGGGUUAAUACCUCGGGAGGAUGACGGUACCUGAAGAAUAAGCACCGGCUAACUACGUGCCAGCCGCCGCAGUAAAAC